UGAAAGGGCCGCUCGUCAGACCGCAAAGCGCAAGUUACAAAGAGCCACGGAAACGGCCGAAGAACGAGAAGUUCGGCGAGAAGCGACGUGCACAGUACGCGGCUAAACAGCAGCGUUCCUCCACAGAGCCCGAGGUUUAUGUAGACACAUGAAUAGAAUAAAUAAUGCACACCUCUGCUUGAUAUAUGCUUUUAAAGGCCCGACGCAGUGUGCAGAAAUAGCCACUCGCUUGGAAUUAACGAAGUGGGACAGACACUGAACUACAAAAAAAUAUCUACCUCACUUCCCCAGUAUUUUUGAAGAUAUGGUGCCGCUUUAAAUGUAUACGGCGCGCGCUGAAUCUGGACCAAAAUGUUCCGAUGACAGGCGUCUUCAGCUCAUGUGAUCAAGAUGAAGACGAUUGCGUAGAGUUUGAAACCGAACUUCUCAAAACAGAGGAAAAAGGAACAGAAGAAAAAAAUUGAAGAUACAGAUUAAACAGUGUAAAAGACACGAUUUUCAUCUCGUACAGAACUAAGACAGCUUUGUUUACAUGUGCACUCAGUGUCCCUGCUGUUGUACAUGGCUGAACAAAGCCAAGGAACCCAGGCCAAAUGCACAAAGUUUUCAAUCAUAGGACUUCUUUGCCAUUGGUGAGCCG